rnacentral:rRNA from 1 species
AGCGAACGCUGGCGGCAGGCUUAACACAUGCAAGUCGAGCGCCCCGCAAGGGGAGCGGCAGACGGGUGAGUAACACGUGGGAACGUGCCUUUUGGUUCGGAACAACCCAGGGAAACUUGGGCUAAUACCGGAUAAGCCCUUACGGGGAAAGAUUUAUCGCCAAAAGAUCGGCCCGCGUCUGAUUAGCUAGUUGGUGGGGUAAUGGCCCACCAAGGCUACGAUCAGUAGCUGGUCUGAGAGGAUGAUCAGCCACAUUGGGACUGAGACACGGCCCAAACGCCUACGGGAGGCAGCAGUGGGGAAUAUUGGACAAUGGGGGCAACCCUGAUCCAGCCAUGCCGCGUGAGUGAUGAAGGCCUUAGGGUUGUAAAGCUCUUUUAGCAGGGAAGAUAAUGACGGUACCUGCAGAAAAAGCCCCGGCUAACUUCGUGCCAGCCGCCGCGGUAACAC